rnacentral:RNase_P_RNA from 1 species
UCUGUGAAAUGGAUAAUCGCGAUUUAUCGAGGAAAGUCCGGACUCCACAGAGUAAUAGAGCUGGGUAACUCCCAGGCAAGUAAUUGACGGAAAGUGCAACAGAAAACAAACCGCUUAUCUGUGAUAAGUAAGGGUGAAAAGGUGGUGUAAGAGACCACCAGUUGUUUAAGUAAUUAAACAAGCUUGUAAACCCCUCUAGGAGCAAUACUAAGAAGCAAUUAGCUGACUCGGCAAAUAAUUGCGGGUAAGUAGCUAGAUAUAUUUGGUAACAAAUAUACAAGAUGGAUGAUUAUCGUAUGUGCAAACAUAUACAGAAUCCGGCUUAUAGUUUCACAAAAACA